UGGUGGCGGGCGGGGCUUUACACAUGCAAGUCGAACGCAUCCUUCGGGGUGAGUGGCAGACGGGUGAGUAACGCGUGGGAACGUGCCCUUCAGUUCGGAAUAACCCAGGGAAACUUGGGCUAAUACCGGAUACGUGCGAGAGCAGAAAGAUUUAUCGCUGAAGGAUCGGCCCGCGUCUGAUUAGCUGGUUGGUGGGGUAAUGGCCCACCAAGGCGACGAUCAGUAGCUGGUCUGAGAGGAUGAUCAGCCACAUUGGGACUGAGACACGGCCCAAACUCCUACGGGAGGCAGCAGUGGGGAAUAUUGGACAAUGGGCGCAAGCCUGAUCCAGCCAUGCCGCGUGAGUGAUGAAGGCCUUAGGGUUGUAAAGCUCUUUCGUCCGGGACGAUAAUGACGGUACCGGAAGAAGAAGCCCCGGCUAACUUCGUGCCAGCAGCCGCGGUAAUACGAAGGGGGCUAGCGUUGUUCGGAAUCACUGGGCGUAAAGGGCGCGUAGGCGGCUUUGUAAGUCGGGGGUGAAAGCCUGUGGCUCAACCACAGAAUUGCCUUCGAUACUGCAUGGCUUGAGACCGGAAGAGGUUAGUGGAACUGCGAGUGUAGAGGUGAAAUUCGUAGAUAUUCGCAAGAACACCAGUGGCGAAGGCGGCUGACUGGUCCGGAUCUGACGCUGAGGCGCGAAAGCGUGGGGAGCAAACAGGAUUAGAUACCCUGGUAGUCCACGCCGUAAACGAUGAAUGCCAGCCGUUGGCGAGCUUGCUCGUCAGUGGCGCAGCUAACGCU
rnacentral:rRNA from 1 species